rnacentral:rRNA from 1 species
CAGCCGCCGCGGUAAUACGGAGGGAGCUAGCGUUGUUCGGAAUUACUGGGCGUAAAGCGCGCGUAGGCGGUUACUCAAGUCAGAGGUGAAAGCCCGGGGCUCAACCCCGGAACUGCCUUUGAAACUAGGUGACUAGAAUCUUGGACAGGUCAGUGGAAUUCCGAGUGUAGAGGUGAAAUUCGUAGAUAUUCGGAAGAACACCAGUGGCGAAGGCGACUGACUGGACAAGUAUUGACGCUGAGGUGCGAAAGCGUGGGGAGCAAACAGGAUUAGAUACCCCCGUAGUCCCUGUCUCUUAUAC